rnacentral:rRNA from 1 species
CUACGGGCCGCUGCAGUCGCGGAACUUUUACAAUGCACGCAAGUGUGAUAAAGCGAACCAAAGUGCUUAUCAUUUAGAUAAGCUUUUUCUCUACGUAAAAACUAGGGAGAAUAAGGACUGGGAAAGACUGGUGCCAGCCGCCGCGGUAAUACCAGCAGUUCAAGUUGCAUCCAUUUUUAUUGGGUCUAAAACAUCCGUAGCUUGGUUCUUAAGUCUCUUGUGAAAUCUCACGUCUCAAGCGUGGUGAAGUGCAGGAGAUACUGAGUACCUAGAGAUCGGUAGACGUAAGCAGUACGGGACGGGUAACGGUCAAAUGUGUUAAUCCGUCUUGGACUAACAAUCAGCGAAGGCAGCUUACGAGGACGAAUCUGACAGUGAGGGAUGAAGGCCAGGGGCGCAAAACGGAUUAGAUUACCCCAGUAGUC